GAAGAAUUUAUUGUUCUUACACAAAAAUCUGGAUAUUAUGUAAGCUAAGAGAAGUUCCUUUACAAUUUGGACAAAAUGAGAAAAGUUGGAUAUGUUGGUGCAUACCUCCAAACCAUUACCUGGGUGGGAGAGGCAGAAGAUCAGGAAUUCCAUGCUAGCCUAGGCAUCAAGGUAAAGAUGAAGCAAGCAUGCCCUUUAUACAUGAAGCCUUGUCUCAGAGUGGGCUAUGAGUUGGCGUGGGGUGGCUUUUAACUGGCAAAUAUGGCUCCUUGGCUCGUGAUGUAUACUACAGGAAAAUUUUCUCUGCACAUGUAAGCAAAACUACAAGCAGAUAACAUGGGAAUUGAAGGGAGUGAGAAAUAGAGCUCAAUAUAUCCAUUUACAAUAGAAUCGGUCACAAAGUAGCUUUAACCACUGAACACUACGACAGAAGUUUUGAUAAAACAGGAAUGGGAAUAAUAAAAUCCUGUAUCCUAGAGGUGUAGGAGAAAAAUAUUGCCACAAAUUAUUGUCAGUGGAUAUUCACAAAUUUUAGUACUGGUUUAUACAGGAAAACCUAUUGGCAUUUGAAAAUAUCUAAGUCUCACUUCUGGUGACGAAAAUGCUAACCUAUGAUAGCAUGAAACAUGGUUGGUCAGACUAAAGUUUGUUUCAAAUAUAUUCUAUUAUGUCAUAUCAUAUUAUUUAUAUAUUUAAAAAGAUAGAGUAGAAAAUUCAGAAGACAAUUCCGCUAUUUCAAUGCCAGAAUGGGGGCUCUGAGGUAGAGGUUAGAGUUACAUAUGCAUACACAUACAUCAGUGUGAGGGGUGUGCAUUGUUAUAUGAUAGCAAGGGAUACAUUUAUGCAGCUAUAGCAAAUGUUCUUAUAAUUCCCCCUCUUUUCUUAUGGGUAAACACCUUGCUGGAGUGGCAUGGUGGUAUGGACUAGCACACAUAUACUUAUGAAAAAAGCCUCACCACCAUUCUUUUAUUUUGUUUUGUUUUGUUUUGUUUUGGUCUUGGAAUCAUUCUUUAUUUAUUUUUAUUUUAGUUUGGUAACUGGGGCAGAUACUGAGAAUUUGCACCCUUAGUUCAGGUAAACAUUUUGGAAACAGCUGUGGUUUUCAAAGUGUAUUGUAGGAAGGCUUCCAAUCCUACCAGUGAACCCAGAGGCAUCUAACAAAAGUAUGAGCAUAUAAUUAUGUAUGUAGGGACUGCCUAUACUUUUUGGGGUUCAUGUCAUUGUCACAAUAAAAUCAAAAUAGUAGUAGUAAGAGAAGACAGGGCAUCAAGUACAGGGGGCAGGAUGGUCACAUUGGAUGUGCAGUUCGGGCAUCUGUCAGGGAACGCAAAGUUGGGCUGAGUUAUAAAAACUGAAGUCAUUCCCCACUGACUCACUUCCUCAAUCAAGGGUCCAAAUCCUAUAGGAUCCACAACCACCACUACUUGGAGACCAAAUGUCUAAAGGUUUGACACCAAGGGGGAAAUUUCACAUGCAAGCCACCUUCCCAUUUAGUAUUUACAACACCACACAUACUUUUAAGAGUAAGUAGUAACUUAAUAUUUAAUGUUUAUUUAGAGUAUGACUAUUUUUCACACUUAGACUUCAUUUAUUAAUAUGUAUCAAUUUUCUGUUAUGUUGCAUUUGCCAAAUAAUCGGUUUUCUUAUCAAGUUAGCAACAGACUGCUCAGCCUCAUUUUAAGGAAACCAAUGAACUCUUUGUUCCUUACUUUGAACUUUCAUGAAACCCUGCUGGUCUGGCAAUUGUACCCUAUGAGAAGCAGAAGAGCUGUUUAGAGUUUAUGCUGGAAAGGAUAUAUACCAGGAAUCUCAAUCCAGUAGCAGUACAAUUUACUGCUACUUGGGGACGAUCUGAGUCGCCGUUUUCAGUAGCAUGGAAUUGACCGCCUAAUCUUUUCAGCUGAAUGGAGAGCAAACACAGAUAUCAGAUAAUUUAUUCUUGUCACGUCCUGACAUAGGUAGACCACCUAAUUUGGUCCCAUUGUCAUGCUUAUUCGAGAAAUAACAGUCAGCAGUUCAUACAUGCAACGCAUGUCUAUUGCUGAAUGACCAUUCUACACAGCUAUGCUUUUUUUGAUUUUAGGUAAAAAGGAAGCAAUUCAUUAUAAGUCGAAUUACACUUCCCAAAAUGCUUUGAAACCCUCCACUUUUGCUGUGUCCCAUAAGCGACGUUAUUUUCUCAGUUCCCUGUCAAGAUUCAUGGUAACGUUGCUGGAUCCUGCCCUGAUCUGUGGGAAGGCUGUCUGUGAUCCUGAGAUAGGCAGAGGAAAAGGACAGGCACAAGGGCUCUCCCACGUACACCAUCUCACACAUGAAGUAAUCAUGUGUCAAGAUCGCAGCUACAUUCGGUGUCUAACAGAGUGUUUCAACACAUUUUUCAGUCCAUAAAAUGAUAAAGGUCCACAUUUCCCUUAAAUCUUAGAGAAAGGUUGUGUGAGCGGCCCCAAAUCCUCCAAGCCCAGGCACUUCCUACACGGAGCUCACUUCCGGUUCCGGGAGGUGCCACGGUGUCAGCUGGCAGCUGCCUGGGAAUCCAGACAGAUGAGUGAAGCCUCCGCUAUGGGAGACAUGGACUCAGCUGCUCCCUCCUCAGCCUGUGGGCCUAGGCUCCAGAUCCCGAGCUAGAGGGGAGCCCAGCAGAGAUGCGGGACUCCCGGUUGGCGACGCUGUGGCUGCUGCUGCCCUACAACCAUCUGACAAUGCUUCCCAGGCAGGGGCUGAGCAGCCACUUCCCUGACCUCCAGCUACAGGACAUGAGCAGGGACCCGCCCAUGGCGCUGCGACCCCAGCUGCUGUGGCAGAGUGCCACUGGGCAUGCUGAUGGACAGGAACAAGAGGCUCCAGGACACAGGCUUGCUGCUGGAGGGACCGACACGGUAGCAGCUCUCUGCACACUCCAGGUCAUCCUAGAGCCUUUCUCCAGUAGCUGAUUCAAGCAGAAGGAAACAUCCACAGCUAAACACUGAGCUAUAUUCCUGGAAUCCACUUGCAGAGAGCGAGGAGGGAUAAUAUAGGGGUCAUGACCGCACUGCAGAAACCCAGAGAAACAGAUGAGCUGAACAAAGGGGAGCUCAUGGACCCCAGACUGAUAGCUGGGAAACUAGCAAAGAACUUAUCCAGACUUGAACACAUCUGUCAGUUACGAAUCCUGGACAAUCUAUGGGGUCUCUGGGAGUGGAUCAGUAUUUAUUCAUGUUAUAGGAAUGGACUUUGAGAGCCCAUUCCACAUAGAGGGAUACUCUUUCAACUAGACACACCAGGGAGAGCCUAGAACCUGCUCCAAAUGAUAUAACAGACUUUGAAGUUCCCCCAUGGAAGUUCCCAACCUCACUGGGGAGGAGAAAUGGCAUGGGAUAGGGGGUGGGGAUCAUGAGAGGAUGGGACAGAGAGGGAACUGGGAUUGACAUUUAUCAAGCUUGUUUAUAAUUUAAAUUUAAAAAAUCAAAAAAAUUAGUAUGUCCACACAGAAGUACUAUCUGACAGUUGACUGGAUUUAUCAUCAUGGAAGACCUAAAUAAUACCAAGGCAACCAGGCAGUGUUGCUUACAGAUAUAUUCUAAAGGCUAUUGUUGAAUCCAAAUGGAUUCAGAGACUGCUUAUUAACUGGUAAUUUAUUUGGGAGUUAUACUCACACAAAAAUCCAUAACCAGGUUGUCACUUCUAGUGGUAGAGUCCCAGCAGCUUUCCAAUGCUGGUUCAACCCCGAGAGAGAGACAGAGAGAGCACUAGCUCUAUCUUACCUUGUUUACACCUUUCUAUAUACAUGUGACCACAUGCGGUGCGGUCAACCGUACAGGUAAUUAAGGUCUUUUUUUGAGGAAUUUUUGAUUCUCUACUGUAUUUUACCCUGUAUAUUUUAAGCCAUAAAUCUCACUUUGGGUACUGGUAGAUUUAGAAUUCAAUUGGUAGGCUAGGGUGACUUGUAAUUUCACAAACAUGUUUCAGCCUCACCCUUUCAAGUGCUAAAUUUAUAGAAAUUUACAAGGAACAUAAUUAAAAUUUACAUUCCAAUAUUACUCUCUGGUAAAAACAGAAAAAUUAUAUGGAGCCAUCAUAAUGUCUGGAAUACAGGAUGCAAUCCUGCAAGUAAAAAGUCAGAGAAUGGAUAGUAUGUUGUUGUUUACAAAAUAUAUGAAAUAUGCCCACCUUUAAAAAACUUAGUAAAAGCCAAUACUUAAAAAAAACUAGAAGAUAUUGGAUGCCUUCUGUGUGGUAAGUACUGAGCUGAAUUCCUAGAAUUCAGUUGUAGAGAGGGCGUAGUAAUGAGUAAAGGCGUCAAGAUCAUGGCAGAGAAACAUUCAAAAACAGCUGACCUGAUCAAGUGGUAAUACAUGAACACCCAUGACAGCUGGGUAACUAGCAUAAGACUGAACCAGGCUUCUUGAUUGGGGGUGUCAAUGGAAGGCCUAUGCUCUCUAUAGGGCCUUUGGCAGAGGAACCAGUAUUUAUCCAAGUACACAAAACGGUCUUUGGGUACCCAUUUUCUAUGGAAGGAUAUUCUCUCAGCCUAGAUACAUUGGAGAAGGUCUUGGUCCUGCCCCAAAAUAUGUGACAGACUUUGAUGUCACAUAUUGUGAUGCCUUGUUGGAGGCAUCACACACUCUGGGAGUGUUUGGUGGGUGUGAUGGGGAGUUUGUGUGGGGGAGCAUGGGAGGAUGGGAUGGAGUGGGAACUGAGAUUGAUAUGUAAAAUAAGAUUGUUUUUAAUUUAAACAAAAAUUGAUUUAAUAAAGGAAACCUAGGGUACAUGAGUUUGAGAAGAACCAGAUUUAUUCUAUAUCUAAGUGAAUUUGUUGGGGAAUAAAUAAAACACAGAGAAAAUUUCAAUCCCUUCUCCAAAUAUAUUGGAACUUAUUCCCAAUGCCAUUAAAUUUUUAUUUUGAAAGUAAUACAGAGACCCUCAUAAGGGCAAAAUUCUGAGAGACUUUGAAGGACUUAUGUCUAAAUGGGAUGUUUUCAUAAACCCCUCUAACUCAAGGAUCAUGGAUCUAUGAGGAGGAAUUGGUAUAAAGGUUGUAAGAGUGAUGCAAUAAAGCCUGGUUUAAUUCAUAGGACCCAGUUAUGUAAUAUUUCCUUCAGCAAGAUGGCAUGCUCUAACUUGUGUGGGAAACAGCCAAGGAAACUGGGUGAGAAAUUGCACAGAUUUCAUUUCCAUUUUUUCUGCAUAUUCCCUGGAUAGCCACACACAUUGCUAAAUUCACAGAGACUCGGACAACAGCAACAACUUUUCAUGCAUGUAUAUUUUCAUAUAAAUCUUAAAAUAAUAAAUUGAGUAUUAAAAUUAUUUUAAAAUAGUAUGUGAAAUGAGCAUAUAACACAAGC
rnacentral:lncRNA from 1 species